rnacentral:pre_miRNA from 1 species
UUUGUACUCCCUCCAUCCCAAAAUUCUUGUCUUAAAUUUGUCUAAAUACGGAUGUAUCUAGUUACAUUUUAGUGUUAGAUACAUCCAUAUCUAAACAAAUGUAAGACAAGAAUUUUGGGACGGAGGGAAUACUAC